rnacentral:tRNA from 1 species
AUAUAAGAAGCUUCUAACUUUUUUUAAAGCAUUAAAUUGU